ACCGAACAUUAAAAGUUUGUUUUUGUCGUUCAUUAAGAAAUACAAAUUUCUCUUUCUUCGAUCUCUUUUUCCUGCAACACCUAAAGCGGUCGGGGAUUUGCAAGAUCAAACUCGCUUCGUACAGCUUCGAUAUCUCUGAUUCAGCAAUCAUCGAGCAGCCUCAACGCCAAGUCCCUCCCUCGCCCUUCUGUAGACAUUCGCGCUGUUUUGAUUUGCGAUGACGAUGUGGAGGUAGACAAAAAGUCGCUGGAGUUCGCGUUAUCCGUGUGGAAGUCAAACCCUGAUCGUUUAAUAGGGGCAUGUUUGUUGGAAGUUUUUGAUCAUAUCGAGGUUUGAUAAGUGGGUGAGGAAAGUAGCUGCCUCUGCAAUAGCACCAAGCUUGAAGCUUUAUGAAAAGGUUCAAGAUUUGGGGUUAUCUUGCUUACAGGGCGAAGAGAGAACGACACGGUUAUCGCUAUCAAGAACCUGAGCAAUGCCGGUUUCAAUAACUGGGACGAGCUUAUUCUGAGAAUGUGACAGCAGCUUUGAAUGUUUAUUUUCAAGAUCCUGGAUUUUAGCUUGUGUUCCCACAUUAUCUCUAGCACCCGUUGAAGCUGAUCCUGAGAAAGAUGAGGUGACUUCAAGCUCUUCGGAUUUAAGUUUCUUGGUUGUGGGAUUCAAGUUGCUCACUCAUCCUGUAUAUCCAGUGCUGCUCACUUAUCCUGAACUCAUUGAUGCUGCAGUGAUCCCAUUUACUGAAAGAUUGAGAAUCGUACAGAGACUAAAGUCAAUCAGUGGCAUCAAUAUAACAAUAUGAUGACAUUUACACACAGAGAACAACAUUCAGUCAAUAUCCAUGAUGACCCAGAUAAAUCCAAGUUUAUGGGGAUGGAGACUAACAAACUACAUCGAGUAAAUCUAAAGUCUUCAUAUUGCUGUGCUGUUCGUAACUUUGUUUGGGAUCCAAAAUCUAAAACAUGGACACUGAAUGUAGAGCUAUUGACCACUACUCAUAUACUUCUUAAUAAAAGAUAAUAAAAGUAAAACAAUUACUUGACCACUA